GGGUUGUGAGGUUAAGCGACUAAGCGUACACGGUGGAUGCCCUGGCAGUCAGAGGCGAUGAAGGGCGUGCUAAUCUGCGAUAAGCGCCGGUAAGGUGAUAUGAACCGUUAUAACCGGCGAUACCCGAAUGGGGAAACCCAGUGUGACUCGUCACACUAUCAUUAACUGAAUCCAUAGGUUAAUGAGGCGAACCGGGGGAACUGAAACAUCUAAGUACCCCGAGGAAAAGAAAUCAACCGAGAUUCCCCCAGUAGCGGCGAGCGAACGGGGAGGAGCCCAGAGCCUGAAUCAGCAUGUGUGUUAGUGGAAGCGUCUGGAAAGGCGCGCGAUACAGGGUGACAGCCCCGUACACAAAAGCGCAUGUGCUGUGAGCUCGAUGAGUAGGGCGGGACACGUGGUAUCCUGUCUGAAUAUGGGGGGACCAUCCUCCAAGGCUAAAUACUCCUGACUGACCGAUAGUGAACCAGUACCGUGAGGGAAAGGCGAAAAGAACCCCGGCGAGGGGAGUGAAAAAGAACCUGAAACCGUGUACGUACAAGCAGUGGGAGCACAGGUUUACCUGUGUGACUGCGUACCUUUUGUAUAAUGGGUCAGCGACUUAUAUUCUGUAGCAAGGUUAACCGAAUAGGGGAGCCGGAGGGAAACCGAGUCUUAAUUGGGCGUUA
rnacentral:rRNA from 1 species